GAAAGGAUAUAGAUAUAUGAGUAAACGUGUAUAACCAAGGGUAGAGAAAGACAGAAUGAGCUCUCUGUAAAAUCAAUACGGAGCUACGUUGGUAGAAGUACAUGUAGGAAGAACUCGUACUCUAAAAGCACGAGGCAAUACCAGUGGUUUCCAACCAUCUCUUUUUAAUUAUUUGACUAAGACAAAAUAAUAUUAAAUUUGUUUGAAUAGCAGAAAACAUCGCCGAUGUAUUGUAAAUAACGCUUCUCUUCGAUUCGGAAAAACGAAGCCACACAACGGCCACUCGACAAAGGAAAAAAUAUACACAGUCUAGUCCGAUCAAUUUCAGUGUCAUCUCUCCGUAAUUGUUCUAUGCGAACCUAUCAGUCACACGUCGUAGCAUGCAUCAACGAGGCUGGAGCAGAAAAGAAAAGAAAAAAGAGUAUGCACGAGAUAAGCAAGAAG
rnacentral:misc_RNA from 1 species